UCUUUGUUUCCGUUUUUCUCAUUAAUUCUCCGCCUUGAAUUGCCUUAAAAAACACAAGAAGAAGGAAAAAAGUUUGAAAGAAGUGGAGAGCGAGGAGAUGAAAGGAAAAACGGCGGCAAGCAAGAGGG
ensembl:ncRNA C08C3.11 ncRNA